AAGGAGAAUUUAAGCAGUGUAUGUUGGUAUUAACACACAUAGACUGCUAAUCUUCUUCUAUU
rnacentral:pre_miRNA from 1 species